UUUUUAAAUGGGAUCUUGUAUGAAUGGUUGGACAAGAGAGAAACUAUCUUUAUAUUAGGUUUUAAAUUUAACUUUUAAGUGAGAAGGCUUAAAUAAUUUAGAGGGACGAUAAGACCCUAUAAAACUUUACAUUAUAGUUAUAUUUUAUUGAAGUUUAAAAAUAAAAAUUUAUUUAAUUAUUUUGUUUUGUUGGGGCGACAAAAGUAAAAAUUUUUUUAACUGCUUAAAAA
rnacentral:rRNA from 1 species